rnacentral:lncRNA from 1 species
UGCAGGUGUGAGAUAAGGCACACAUUGUGUGUGCAUAUCUUUUGCACAUUUGUCAUCCUGAUCUUUUUAUGCCAAGGUGAAAAAUAUCUACAUAGAGCAUGUUUGGUCUUGAUUUUCUGAGAAUAUAUUUUAUAAAAACUGUUCUCUCCCUCUCUCUUCAUUAUUAUUAUUAUUUUUUUGGGGGGAGAAUGUGUAGUUAGAAAGUAACGAAAAAUCAUGGAUCCAUGUGCAAAUUUAUUUUAUUGGGAGAAUGUACCGUUGAAAAUGAGUUUGGGGGAAAAAUAAGUUUUAAAGAAUCUGUAUGACUAUAGCAAACAGGGGCUUAAUAGAAAAUUUGAAGAAAUUAAAUUUUUGAAUGGAAAUUACUUUGUGACAUUCAUUUAUACUAUGUGAGAUGUCUAAUGUUAGCGGGCAUAAUGCUAUGUUUAUAUCUGAAAAAUAAUCUUGUAAAUUACUGAUGAUAAUAUUAAAAUGUAGUUGUGGCUAGAGAUAGUAUAGAUAUUUGAUCAUAAGAAAGUGAAACAUACAUAAUGAUAUAUGUUCUGUGCAUUAUGUUCAUUUUUUCAUUAGGAUGUUUACUUGCAAGGACGUGAUAAAAGUUGAAUAUAUUUGUUCCGAGGUAUCUUAGGGUUAAUAAAUAUUAUGGAAUUACAUGUCAUGUUAGUUCAACAAACAUAAAAAAUAACUCAGGUAUAAAGGAGCAAGUUUCAAUUGUGGGAGAACUUCUUGUAAAUGGGUAAUUUUAAUUAAGAAAAGUUUCUAAUGGAAAGCAGUUGAUGGUAGUUGAUGUGCUUAUUCCUCUGGGAGAGUUGGUUUUAGUAAUUAAUUUAAUUGUGGGCGGUGCACGAGCAUUAUGACAGGUUCCAUAUUUAUGAAUUAAUGUCCUUUUUUCAUUGACAUUUAUGGGUAUUAUGGGAUUUCUGUAGUUAGAAUCCGUACAACUCUUUCAACAUUCCCCUUUCCCCUUCUCUCUUGACACUUCCAACUGUACCUCCUUAUUGUCCAUUGUUCCUACUUCUCCACAUCCACCUACUCCAAAUAAUCUUGCAAUUUGUUUGCAUCCUCUCCUUGUUCAGUUUAGCUUCUGCAUGUUUACCUCUUCUAUGCAUACCAAACAGAUGGAAAUAAAUUAUUAUUUUGAUGGGACAGAAUGGAGCUCAAGAAGCUUAACUUAAUGUUGAAUUGUUUCUAUUAAUUUCUUUCAUAUUGGCGGGAUCGUAAUUUUGGACCAAAGAAUGCCCAAACUUUC